rnacentral:rRNA from 1 species
GACGAACGCUGGCGGCGUGCCUAAUACAUGCAAGUAGAACGCUGAAGGAGGAGCUUGCUUCUCCGGAUGAGUUGCGAACGGGUGAGUAACGCGUAGGUAACCUGCCUGGUAGCGGGGGAUAACUAUUGGAAACGAUAGCUAAUACCGCAUAACAGUAGAUGUUGCAUGACAUUUGCUUAAAAGGUGCAAUUGCAUCACUACCAGAUGGACCUGCGUUGUAUUAGCUAGUUGGUGAGGUAACGGCUCACCAAGGCGACGAUACAUAGCCGACCUGAGAGGGUGAUCGGCCAAACUGGGACUGGGACACGGCCCAGACUCCUACGGGAGGCAGCAGUAGGGAAUCUUCGGCAAUGGACGGAAGUCUGACCGAGCAACGCCGCGUGAGUGAAGAAGGUUUUCGGAUCGUAAAGCUCUGUUGUAAGAGAAGAACGAGUGUGAGAGUGGAAAGUUCACACUGUGACGGUAUCUUACCAGAAAGGGACGGCUAACUACGUG